GUAGGGAAUCUUGCGCAAUGGGCGAAAGCCUGACGCAGCCAUGCCGCGUGAAUGAUGAAGGUCUUAGGAUUGUAAAAUUCUUUCACGGGGGACGAUAAUGACGGUACCCGGAGAAGAAGCCCCGGCUAACUUCGUGCCAGCAGCCGCGGUAAUACGAAGGGGGCUAGCGUUGCUCGGAAUUACUGGGCGUAAAGGGAGCGUAGGCGGAUAGUUUAGUCAGAGGUGAAAGCCCAGGGCUCAACCUUGGAAUUGCCUUUGAUACUGGCUAUCUUGAGUAUGGAAGAGGUAUGUGGAACUCCGAGUGUAGAGGUGAAAUUCGUAGAUAUUCGGAAGAACACCAGUGGCGAAGGCGACAUACUGGUCCAUUACUGACGCUGAGGCUCGAAAGCGUGGGGAGCAAACAGGAUUAGAAACCCCUGUAGUCC
rnacentral:rRNA from 1 species